UGCGGCUCCGCAGCUGGAAAACCCUCCGCUGGAAAAACCCACCGCUGGAAAAACCCACCGCUGGAAAAACCCACCUCUGCGGCGGCAGCAGGAGAAGCUGCGACUGCUUCACCUGGCCUGAGAGGUCCAUUGCUUUCCAACGUUCCUGGAGGAAUGCAGAGUUCAACUCUCAGAGCCGGGAUCAGCACCCUCAGCAGACAAUCCAGACUGAUCUGCCUAGAAACUGGAAUGCCAAGGCACAGCAGGAGAAGGUCUACUCCUGUUUCACACUCCAGCACUGUCAGCCCACAUUCCACCAGGGAGUUUGGCACACUCGGUUCUGAAGUGCUCACACAGGAUGAGUCUUUUGCAAUAGGAACAAGGAAACUUCUGAAGUAAGCAUGUUGUGAUUUGUUAACAAUUUGUGUAAUUUCCACUUUAUUGGCAGUAAAGUAGAUUUCUUUAAAAAAGCAAUGAUGUCAUAUGGUCCUCCAUGUAGAUUUAUUUGCUAUAUUAAGAUACAUUAACUUAUUGUUUUAAUU